UUUAGUGCAUUUUUCACCCUGCCAGCUCCUAUUAGUUCUAUUGAGCACCGUGGCACCAACUCGACUUCCGAACGUUCUAUUCCCAGCUUAUUGUUCAAUGCCUGCUUCGCUACUGUUGGCGAUGAGACCUGCUCACGUUGUUUUAUAGUUAAAAUGUAAACAACAAAAUGUAAACAUCAAAAAUAAUAUUGGAACUCUGCGGUCUUCCCAUUGUUUCCUAUGGGGGAAAUAUUGGCAUGUCUGUCUGUUUCGCCAAAUAUCUCGCAAUGUAUAUAUUUAGAUUAUUUUCAAAUUGGGUGUAACCGGUGUAAAAUGGCUAGCUAGUUAGCGGGGUGCGCACUAAUAGCGCUUCAAUCGGCGACGUCACUUGCUCUGAGACCUUGAAUAGUUGUCCCCCUUGCCCUGCAAAGACCGUGGCUUUUGUGGAGCGAUGGGUAACAAUGCUUCGAGGGUGGCUGUUGUCUAUGUGUGCAGAGGGUCCAUGGUUCGAACCCAGGUAUGGGCGAGGAGAGGGACGGAAGCAAAACUGUUUCACGGGCACCAUUUUAAAAUCAGGAGAAUCUUCUCUUUGUAAUUAUAGAGCAAGCUGAUCAAGAGGAACAGGCCGUGAAAGCUUAAUUUCUGGCAAAAGUGUCCAUAACCAGAGGUUAUAUCAGCUGUUUUGGUGAACCCCUCCCGCAUCUGAACUGGCUGACACAGGGGGCACAGCAUGAUCAUAGGUAUGUUUUGACGUGAGAGAGGAAGCCGGUCCCGUCAUUGCCACCUCUCCCGCUCUUAAGAUAACCUUCGGGCCAACUGGGGGCCCGAGGCUGGUUAGGAGACACCGCAAUUGUGAUGAACUGAAAGAAUAUUAGGGUAGCACUGUAAUUGUUGAAUCAUAUGCUGUCUGCCGUUGUUCUUACCUCUUUCCUUUUCUGUCUUCUACACCUCUCUCCCCACCUCGUCUUUCUUCCGCGUUUUAUAAUGCACACCAUAUGUGCAUUGAAGUACAGAUUGCUUUAUGUAUUUAUAAUAUUACAAUUAUCAUAAUUAUAAUGCAUUUAUAACACCUGAAAAAUAAACUUCUUUC